AGUUUGUCAGAGCUCAAGGGAGAGGGAGCGAGAGAUAGAGGUAGAAAGAGGGAGACACCGGCCGACAACGUCAAAGCGAGGGGGUGGAAAAGAGAAGCAGCACUCGAGAAAACAUCUAAACCGUAACGACAUAUAUUCCUUGACUUAUUAUUGCACGGUUAUUAAUGGUACAAUGCAUAAUAAUCAAACCGAAGAACGGAAACGAUAGCCUGUAUUAUCUAACACAAUACUAGCUUGCUAGCUUGGAUAAUCACGACAACAUAGUUGAUAAGUGUGGAAACCGUUGGGGGAUCCAAUUUAGUCAUUAUUGUCGGUGACAAGGGAAAGGUUGGACUAUGUAUAUGUAAGUUGGCUAGCACAAACCUGUAAGUGAUACAGGACGGAACGGUAGAUAGAUAAGAGCGUCACACGCUCGCAUUCUAACUGGAGGGAGGACGUAAAAGCGCGACACGGAUUUAUCAGUGCUUUGGUACAAUCGCUUGUCAAGACAUCAAGGCUGAAACUCUACCGAAGCGAAGCACAAAAAAAUAACUAGCAUUAGGCUAUCUCCAUUGGUAGAAUUCCAAAAAACACAAAAAGCACAAGAAGAGGGACAAAUUGAACAUAACACUUGGGGACGAAGGGAAAGACAAAAGGAACAGACCAGAAACCGGUGAAAGAAGAACAGAAGGAAAUAAGCCAUAUAUUGGAGUAUUCUUAACAUUUGGAUAUUUUCAAAACUGAGCUAUUUUCUCUUGGUAUUUGUUUCGGGGGUGUGUAAACGGUAACGUCUUAUGUGUACGUAUGUGACUAUAACGUCAACCUAACUGGACAAAGAGAAGCGCCCCCAUACAUUGAUAUACAGUCCCACUAUACCCGCGGUAGGGUUAAACAAAGGAGCCCAACGUAGAGACUGUUACUGUUGAUGCACAUUAAUAUUUCAAAUUUGCACAGACUCCCCGAGGACUACAUCCUAAACAGAAGACCCGCUCUCUUCCAGUUCCCCCGAGUCCCGUUCAUUCCCCAGUUCACUGUUUUAGUGUCUGUCCACGGGCGCUCCGACUGCACCCCAGCGCAACGUCCCAAUGAAGGAGGCCGACGCGAUUAAACUGUUUAUCGGGCAAAUUCCCCGAAACCUGGAGGAGAAAGAUCUGAAGCCCAUCUUCGAGCAGUUCGGGAAGAUCUAUGAGCUGACGGUGAUAAAGGACAAAUACACCGGCAUGCACAAAGGAUGCGCCUUCCUGACCUACUGCGCGCGUGAGUCGGCGCUGAAGGCCCAGAGUGCCCUGCACGAGCAGAAGACGCUUCCAGGGAUGAACCGGCCCAUCCAGGUGAAACCAGCGGACAGUGAAGGCAGAGGAGAAGACCGGAAGCUCUUUGUAGGCAUGCUGGGGAAGCAGCAGUCGGACGAGGACGUGAGGAAGAUGUUCGAGCCCUUCGGCACCAUCGACGAGUGCACGGUGCUGCGGGGGCCCGACGGCACCAGCAAAGGCUGCGCGUUUGUGAAGUACCAGAGCCACACUGAGGCGCAGGCCGCCAUCAGCUCUCUGCACGGGAGCCGCACCCUGCCGGGGGCCUCCUCCAGUCUGGUGGUGAAGUUCGCGGACACGGAGAAGGAGCGGGGUCUCCGGCGCAUGCAGCAGGUGGCCUCCCAGCUGGGGGUCUUCAGCCCCAUGACCCUGCACUUCGGGGCGUACAGCGCCUACACGCAGGCCCUGGUCCAGCAGCAAGCUCUGGUCGCUCAGUCCGCGUACCUGUCUCCCGUGGCGACGGUCGCCGCGGUGCAGCUGCAGCAAAUGGCUGCCAUCAACGCCAACGGCAUCAUCGCCACGCCCAUCACGUCCAUCGCCCCCUCCUCGGGUACGAACACGCCCCCCGCCCUCGCGGCCACGCCCGUUCCCGCCCUGCCUCCACCGAUUGGAGUCAACGGCUACAGUCAGUUGCCGGCUACGGCCAAUGGGCAGCCGGCUUCUGAGACGCUGUACACCAAUGGGGUUCACCCGUACCCUGCCCAGAGUCCUGUGGCAGCUUUGGAUCCUUUACAGCAGGCAUAUGCAGGCAUGCAGCACUACACAGCGGCGUAUCCAGCUGCUUAUGGAUUGGUUGGCCAGCCUUUUCCACAGCAACACACCCUGGUUGCUCAGCAACACCAGCAGCCCCAGCAACAACAACAGCGGGAAGGUCCUGAGGGCUGCAACAUCUUCAUCUACCACCUGCCCCAGGAGUUCACCGACUCCGAGAUGCUCCAGAUGUUCCUGCCCUUCGGCAACGUCAUCUCCGCCAAGGUCUUCGUCGACCGCGCCACCAACCAGAGCAAGUGCUUCGGCUUCGUGAGCUUCGACAACCCCGCCAGCGCGCAGACGGCCAUCCAGGCCAUGAACGGCUUCCAGAUCGGCAUGAAGCGCCUGAAGGUGCAGCUGAAGAGGCCCAAGGACGCCAACCGGCCCUACUGAGGCGCCUGGGAAAGACAGGGACAGACCCUCCUGUCCAAUCAUAAAUCGCGGAGACUACGUCGCUAUGGCUACGGUCUCCUAGUGACCAAUAAAGCCCCGCCCCCUUCCUGUCACAUCGUUGCGGAACUUAUGAGGGGGUGCAGUGAAGAACUCACUGGGGAGUCCGUGCUCUGACUUGCUGUUAACGCUUAGCGUACAAGUGCACUGGCCAUAUAAUGACACAAUCACACCGUACGAGUCAAAUCACAAAUAUUAAUAAGUGUGUACUGACUCAAUGCAGUCAAUGCGUAUGCAGUAACAAAUCAAUACAUAUUUUCGAGAUUCUCUCUCUCUCUCUCUCUCUCUCUCUCUCUCACACACACACACACACGGCUGUACAUGCUAAAGUCAACCACACAAAAACAUAUCAAUUUACUUGCCUAGAAAAAAAAAAUUGGUUUGAUUCAUGCGCUUAGUUAGUUGUACGAGGUGUAAUAAGUUGUGGAGAAAGAAUGCAGCGAAAUUGGGCUGGAGAUAAGACAGUACGGAUUGAAAAGUGGAAUAACGAAUUAUAAUGUAUUACUGCUUUUGGUCUAUCAUGUUGUGAGUUAGCAUCUCUACCUAUAAAGAAAAGAAAAAAGAAAUGAACUACUUAAAAAGACUUCAAGAAAAAAGAAGACACUUCUAACUGUAAAUAAUUUAGUUUACGAAAAUAAGUUUAAAAAACAACAAAAAAUGCUAAAUAAACAUUAUUAUUAUUAUUAUUAUUAUUAUUAUUAUUAUUAUUAGAGUAUAGUAUUAAGGUUUAGGAAAUGGGUUGAAAAAGCAACAAAUAUCAAAUUGCAAUGUAGAUUUUUUAGCUGUUGGUAUGUUGUGGGAGGGCAGAAAUUGGGGGAAUUUUAAUAUUUGAAAUAUUUUUAUUUGCUAAUUUAUUUAUUAAUAAGGGAAAGGGGCAAUUUUUAUUUAAGAUUUUUUAGAGAAUCGAUUUCUGGGGUCUGUACAUUUCAGACUUUAAUUGAAAAAUUAUAAGUAUGAAUUAAUCAUUAUACUGAUUGAUAUUUCUUAUUUAUGAAUUGAUGUUUUUGAUCCUCUCUUUUUAAGUUAAAAUAAAAAAAACAUGAACAUUAA